rnacentral:rRNA from 1 species
UGGGGAAUAUUGCGCAAUGGGGGAAACCCUGACGCAGCAACGCCGCGUGAAGGAUGAAGGUUUUCGGAUUGUAAACUUCUUUGAUGAGGGACGAAUAAAUGACGGUACCUCAAAAACAAGCCACGGCUAACUACGUGCCAGCAGCCGCGGUAAUACGUAGGUGGCGAGCGUUGUCCGGAAUUACUGGGUGUAAAGGGCGUGUAGGCGGGGAUUCAAGUCAGAUGUGAAAUACCGAGGCUUAACUUCGGGGCUGCAUCUGAAACUGAGUCUCUUGAGUGUCGGAGAGGAAAGUGGAAUUCCCAGUGUAGCGGUGAAAUGCGUAGAUAUUGGGAGGAACACCAGUGGCGAAGGCGACUUUCUGGACGAUAACUGACGCUGAGGCGCGAAAGCGUGGGGAGCAAACA